CAAUGGGUGGCAACCCUGACGCAGCAAUGCCGCGUGAGUGAAGAAGGCCUUCGGGUCGUAAAGCUCUUUUAUGGGGGAAGAUGAUGACGGUACCCCAUGAAUAAGCACCGGCUAACUACGUGCCAGCAGCCGCGGUAAUACGUAGGGUGCGAGCGUUGUUCGGAAUUACUGGGCGUAAAGGGCGUGCAGGCGGAUUGGCAAGCCGGAGGUGAAAGCCCGGGGCUCAACCCCGGAGGGUCUUUCGGAACUGCCAGUCUUGAGAGGGUCAGGGGCCAGCGGAAUUCCUGGUGUAGAGGUGAAAUUCGUAGAGAUCAGGAGGAACACCGGCGGCGAAAGCGGCUGGCUGGGGCCACUCUGACGCUGAGGCGCGAAAGCGUGGGGAGCAAACAGGAUUAGAUACCCUGGUAGUCCACGCCGUAAACGAUGGGCACUAAGCGUCCGACGGGUUCGACCCUGUUGGGUGCUGCAGUUAACGCGUUAAGUGCCCCGCCUGGGGAGUACGGUCGCAAGACUA
rnacentral:rRNA from 1 species